rnacentral:rRNA from 1 species
CGCUGGCGGCAGGCCUAACACAUGCAAGUCGAGCGGAUGACAGGAGCUUGCUCCUGAAUUCAGCGGCGGACGGGUGAGUAAUGCCUAGGAAUCUGCCUGGUAGUGGGGGACAACGUUUCGAAAGGAACGCUAAUACCGCAUACGUCCUACGGGAGAAAGCAGGGGACCUUCGGGCCUUGCGCUAUCAGAUGAGCCUAGGUCGGAUUAGCUAGUUGGUGAGGUAAUGGCUCACCAAGGCGACGAUCCGUAACUGGUCUGAGAGGAUGAUCAGUCACACUGGAACUGAGACACGGUCCAGACUCCUACGGGAGGCAGCAGUGGGGAAUAUUGGACAAUGGGCGAAAGCCUGAUCCAGCCAUGCCGCGUGUGUGAAGAAGGUCUUCGGAUUGUAAAGCACUUUAAGUUGGGAGGAAGGGCAUUAACCUAAUACGUUAGUGUUUUGACGUUACCGACAGAAUAAGCACCGGCU